AAGAUCAUACUUCACAGGAUCAUUUCUGUAGUAUGCAUCGUCCCCUCCAGGUGCAAAUCUGGAGUCGUCGUAAGCCACGAUGAUGAGACUAGUUCUAUUACCAGAGCGUGAGAUCACCUAUAUUGACGUGCUUCUGCAAAGUUCAAUUAGGUAACGAUGAUCGCAACCAAGACUUCUUGGAAGGUAAACGAACAGUCUGAGUGGU